rnacentral:sRNA from 1 species
CCAGUUCCCUGUCUGUGUGUCCGCUCGCCCUCUGCUCCGUCCUGCCGCUGCCCACUGCCCUCCUACGGUCCACCAUGGCCCUGCUGCACUCCGGCCGCGUCCUCCCCGGGAUCGCCGCCGCCUUCCACCCGGGCCUCGCCGCCGCGGCCUCUGCCAGAGCCAGCUCCUGGUGGACCCAUGUGGAAAUGGGACCUCCAGAUCCCAUUCUGGGAGUCACUGAAGCCUUUAAGAGGGACACCAAUAGCAAAAAGAUGAAUCUGGGAGUUGGUGCCUACCGGGAUGAUAACGGAAAGCCUUACGUGCUGCCUAGCGUCCGCAAGGCAGAGGCCCAGAUUGCCGCAAAAAAUUUGGACAAGGAAUACCUGCCCAUUGGGGGACUGGCUGAAUUUUGCAAGGCAUCUGCAGAACUAGCCCUGGGUGAGAACAGCGAAGUCUUGAAGAGUGGCCGGUUUGUCACUGUGCAGACCAUUUCUGGAACUGGAGCCUUAAGGAUCGGAGCCAGUUUUCUGCAAAGAUUUUUUAAGUUCAGCCGAGAUGUCUUUCUGCCCAAACCAACCUGGGGAAACCACACACCCAUCUUCAGGGAUGCUGGCAUGCAGCUACAAGGUUAUCGGUAUUAUGACCCCAAGACUUGCGGUUUUGACUUCACAGGCGCUGUGGAGGAUAUUUCAGUAAGUGUGGCUUUCAGGGUGAGAGAGGUGAAUAAAACUCCUUGCUUGUGGACAUUUGAUGUCUCCCACCGUGUCCCAGUAUCUGAGUUAAAAUACUGGGGAAGAGCUGAUUCCCAGGCUUCUGGUUACCUUUGUUACUUAUCAAAUGAUGACGAUCCUGUGGCAUUUCAGAUAAACCGUUUCCUUUAAAGCUGCAAAGUCGUCUCUUGGCUGUUUUUCUCUUUAGAAAAUACCAGAGCAGAGUGUUCUUCUUCUGCAUGCCUGCGCCCACAAUCCCACAGGAGUGGACCCGCGUCCGGAACAGUGGAAG